GAAUAUAUCUUGCUUUCAACAACUGCUUGGGGAAGGGGUCUUUGAUCUUUCCAUGUCAGGAGUAAAAACUGAAGACUGUAAUACUUUGAAAAGGUUAACACUGUCCAAUCUGUCAAAAUCCAAAUGGAUGGAGCAUUAUCAUCAACUCAAGAAAUGUAAAAAUACUACUGGAAAGUCUCUUGUUGGAAGAGCACCAAAUGGCAUUACAUCAAAUAAUUUAAUUGCUACCAAGAGAUCACGUGACACCCUAGGUCAAAAAAUUCCAGAAGUGAAGGUGAUGAAGAGCCCCAAAAGGAUUAA
rnacentral:misc_RNA from 1 species